rnacentral:rRNA from 1 species
GACGAACGCUGGCGGCGUGCUUAACACAUGCAAGUCGAACGGAAAGGCCCUGCUUGCAGGGUACUCGAGUGGCGAACGGGUGAGUAACACGUGGGUGCUCUGCCCUGCACUUCGGGAUAAGCCUGGGAAACUGGGUCUAAUACCGGAUAGGAGCCAUUUUUAGUGUGAUGGUUGGAAAGUUUUUUCGGUGUAGGAUGAGCUCGCGGCCUAUCAGCUUGUUGGUGGGGUAAUGGCCUACCAAGGCGGCGACGGGUAGCCGGCCUGAGAGGGUGGACGGCCACAUUGGGACUGAGAUACGGCCCAGACUCCUACGGGAGGCAGCAGUGGGGAAUAUUGCACAAUGGGCGCAAGCCUGAUGCAGCGACGCCGCGUGGGGGAUGACGGCCUUCGGGUUGUAAACUCCUUUCGCUAGGGACGAAGCUUUUGUGACGGUACCUAGAGAAGAAGCACCGGCUAACUACGUG